ensembl:lncRNA
UAAAAGCCCUCUCUGGCAACACAACCACCUCUCUCUCUCUUGGAACUAUAGAUAAAAGCCCUCUCCGGCAACACAACCACCUCUCUCUCUUUUGGAACCUCUGGCCUAAUUUACGCCUUUUGUUUUCCAAUCCUAAAUCCAGGCUCAGAGAACUGACCUUGACCUGGCCUGUACAGUACGUCACUAAGUACAUUAGCUCGCGUGGGUCUCUUUGCAGUCAAUGCAAUCUGGGACUAGAGCACUCCUGCAGCCAUGGCAACCUCAUGCUGCGUGGUACCCAGCACAAGGGCUGCAGUGGGAUGACAUGUAAUACAUCUAAAAUAACAGCUUCUCAGUGGGAGAGAAGAUUGAUGAGCGAGAUCAAUUGAUGGUUGUUUUUGAAGAUUGGAGAUUACUGUUGGAAAUUAAUACAGCCUGCCAAAUUAGGAAGCGGUGAAAAAAAACAUUGAUACUGACAGGUAGACCAGACUCCCCUUGAAGAAGAGUGGAGGUAGACUAGAGUGAGGGGACAAUGGACCAUAACUUGGACUAUGGGGAACCACAAGAGGAGGUGUUCUUUGAGAACUACAAGCCUCCCUCUCGGGACGCUAUCACCCUGCCCAACUAUGUUAUCUAUCUGUUCCUAGCAUCGGUGGUGGCUCUGAUCGCCCUGUACGCCAUCAUCAGGCACCUCAUCAAAGAGCUGAUUCAUGACCUAGCAGACUACCUGUUUGGGGUACAGCCUGACGAGGAGGUGGUUAACCCCUGGGAGUGUAAGGACAAGUUCCAGGUGGACUGGUGUCCAGAGACCAAUGCUGAGCUGGAGGCUAUGGUCAAGGCAGAGGAGAUCCACUGCCUGAUGGAGGGCAACAAGAACAUGCCUGCCAUCUGGGUCAUCUCAGAUGGACGUGAGCCACGGCCCCCACGCACGGGCCCCAGGGUCGCCUUCGGCAGGAUGAGCUAGCUACAAAGGGGCAGGCACACAGACUCUGACUGCUAGAGACAAGGCUGGGUACAGCAAUGUGGCAGAUGCACUGUAAGCCAAAAGAUAUAUACUGUGUUGUAAUCAUGUACUCAUUACUGCAUUACACAAUAAUCUCCACAUGCUGGCAGCAAUGCAAGAGCUUCAUAAGUGACCAGUCCUUGUUGUAUUGUUAGUGUUUAGACUAGGCCUUUAGACCUCCCUUUGACCAUAUGAAGAGGAAAUGCUUUCAGGACUUUCAACUGUGACCUAUGUUGUUGAACACGUUUAUUCCGUAUGGUUUGAUGAUUUUAAACCAUUUCUCUCAAAAAUACUUGUUUUCUACUUAUUGCACAUUUAUUUGACACAAUAUUACACAUUUGCAUGCUAUCCAGUAAACACAUGACAUGAUCGUUACUGAAAGCUGGUUUCAGGAACAAAUGAAAAGUCAUGAGUUUGGAGUGGACACACCUUUCAGGCAAUAAAAUCUUCUGGUAUCAUUGGCAACAUGGUGCAAUCUGGUUGCUCUCUGUGCUGUAUACUGCACUUUGAACUCACAGGACGUUACCAGUCCAGAAGGAGUAUCGUGACAGUGAACAGGUUCUACACAACCCCAACCUCAGAGGCCUCCUGGGAUCAACAAGGAUUCAUAAUGUCUCUCCACAAAACUUUCCUGGUCUGUUUAUCACUGGCGGUUUGUGUUAACCAGGCCCAGAGUGGUAAGCCAAACGGAGGCGUACGGCUCACUACAUCCAAGGGUGGGACACUGCAGCCUUGGCUUGUUGGUCUGGCUGCUGUAGUGGGAUUCCUCUUCAUCGUCUUCGUCAUCCUUAUUGUACAAAGGCUUUUCUUCAAGAAGGAAAAGUACUCGUUACAUUUUGAAUGCUUAGCAGGACAGGAAAAUGGUCAAAUUCAACGCACUUAUCAAGAGAACAUCCCUGGUCAUCCCUACUGCCUCAGGCCCACUAAAUAUAAAUGCUAUGUUUGUAAAUAUGUCUGAGUGUUGGAGCAUGCCCCUGGUUCUCUGUAAAUUAAAUAAAAAACAAGUCAUAUGGUGCUGUUUGGUUUGCUUUAAUAUAAGCAAUUUGAAAUUAUUUAUACUUUUUAUACUUAUGUAAAUUUGAGCAAUUACAUUUACUUUUGAUACUUAUGUAUAUUUAAAACCAAAUACUUCUAGACUUUUACUCAAGUAGGAUUUUACUGGGUGACUUUCACGUGAGGCAUUUUUUUAAAUAAAAUAUGACAUAUGGGUACUUUUCCACUACUGCCUGACAUAAUCUUUUCAUACUUUAAAAUUGUGACCUCCUGUUGUCCUUAACUAACUUACCAGGAUCUCACAAGCAAGUGUAUUUUCUUAUGAAAUGUUCAACUGCUGCAGUCCGAGACAGAAGGCUAUCAAACUACACACGCUCAUUGUAAAGCCCGUGUUUUUGUCUUGCAGAGAGGAAGAUGGUGGUUUGUAUGAGAACACAGCUGUAGAAAUGGAAGCUGGCAAGGCCAGUGAGGUUAAACAAACCAGCCUAUAGAGAGACCACCAAACCAUCCAGGGAGGGGACAGGCUCAGACACCAGUUUCCACGCUCGCAUUGGGUUUCUUACUUCUCCUGCACAUGCAUUUCUUUCAACUCUAUGAUUGUCAUAUCCUAUGUUUGUGCAAUUAAACAAAUGAAGAAAAUAUAGAUAUUGUCCUCAACUUUGCCUGUCAACUGUGCAAACAAGAUAAUUCUGAACAGGAUCUGUUUUAUUGUUGGCUAAAUUGUUUAUACUGUAAUGACUGAUGUUGAUGGUAACAAUAGUGAUUUUGUCUCAUUGAGUAACCAAUGCUUUUACAGUGUCACUGUAACAGAAACUAGUGAUUUUACUUAUACUACCACUAGAUGGAACUGGAUUCUCUUUUUCCAUUUAGAACUCACUAGACCUACAGUACUACACAAAUUGUUAAGGGGAGAGUGGAGUAAGUUGAGCCAUAGGGGUAAGUUGACCAAACAUUUAGGAAGAGGUCAUCAUAUCACGGAGUCUGAAGGAUGAAACCACAUGGAAAAAGUGGUAAGCAAGUCAGCUCCAACAAAACAGAUUUUUACCAAGUCAAAUGAAUUGAUUGUGUUAAAGGUUUCAUGAUGUAUCUAAACCAGAUUGUUCUAUAUCAGUCGGGGUCUCUAUAAGCUUAACUGUGAGAUCCUAAACCUAGCAUGACAGUGCAUCCUUGGAGCUGUGUGGGCUAAUAUAGUCAAAAUGUUUGCCAUGGGGUAAGUUGAGCCAAUGGCAAGUUGAGUAAAUUCCCAGACCUAAUGCAAGGCAUUAUCACUGAGGUAACAACAGGCCUAUGUUAAAAGUGUUUUGUUAGGUGUUAAACCUGUGUUGAAGAUGCUUCGAAGACAAAGAAGCGAUUGUGUUGAAUUGCGUUUGGGAAAUAAAGAUAGAGAUGGGUUUUAAAAAGGUCGUGGAAAUAUUUCAUUUGGUACAUUCAUUUGUAGGCGGCUUAAUUUGCCUGGGGUAAGUUGUACCAAGAGACUUUUUUUGGACAAGCUAUGUUUUCAAAAUUGUAAUGUUUACAUUAAUUCUGAUUAUUUUCAGGGAUACACGACAUCCUGAAAUAUAUGUAGAUAUCUUUGUUAGAAAUAAUACUAUAUUUCCUUUGACAGUCAUGCUGAAUGUAAAAAAUGGCUCACUCUCCCCUAGUCAAUUUUAAAUUGAGAAUAAAAAAAGUGUAAAUUGUGAAGCUAUAGCUGA